rnacentral:tRNA from 1 species
GUAAAUAUAGUUUAAAAUAAAACAUUAGUCUGUGGAUCUAAAAACAGAAGCUUAAGCCUUCUUAUAUACC